UAUUAAAUGUGGAGGUUGGUGGCCCUGCCUGUGGCAGAGGGGUUGGAGAUUCAUGAUCCUUGAGGUCCCUUUUAACCCAGGCCAUUCUAUGAUUCUGUGAAAAAAAAGAAUAUUAAUAACUUUUUCUUUCCCUCAAAACUAGCUUCUACUUAAAAAAUCCCACAAAGCUGACUACGGCAUACUCAGUUAUGUAAAAGUAAGAGAAAAUCUCAGUGCCCUACAAAUACAGUGUGUAUGGAAACUGCUGAAUCAUGACCUGAACCACUGACUGAGCACCUGAGGAAAGGACCUGGUCAGCCCUGGGAGCACAGGUGAAGGCAAUUCAUCUGUAUGACAGGAAGGGGUGGAGCCCGGCUGCACCUUUCUUUGACCUCAUUUAAGGGCUGAUUGCCACUGGGGAAGGAGCUGUGGUUGGAGAUUCCUCUCUUGUGGAGUUUUCUCUAUGAGCCUGGAUUAUCAGAGAUGGGUGAGUACUUAUUUGUUAUAACAUCUUCACAUUAUGCUGUUCUCUUUGUCAUUACAUCUCCUGAAUCACCAUUCCACCACACUGAUGUUCUUGAUUGUUACGCUAUGGAAGGAGGCUCUCUUUACAGCCACUGGAUCCAGCCUGGCAGGGCAGAGCUCCUCUGCCAUCACUGGUGUGUGCAGGUAGAAAAACCUGGGCAGGAGGCACGCACCUUUAAUGCCUUACUGUUGUGUAUUUGGCCAGUGUAAUUCACAGUACCCUACCUGACUGGUAGGGCUAGAGGUGAGAACUGCAGCAAAAACUGCUCACUUUGGAGAGGUAAAAAGCUAAUCCUAGCCCAAACCUCUGUUCCUGUGAUGAGCCGUGAACACCUGCUUAGCAAGUGAACUAUGAAGUUCACUGAUUUGUCCAGGUUUCUGCAGCUGAUAAGCAGGAAUUUCAUCUCUAGAUGUUUGCCUGUUCAAACCAUGAAGACACUGCAAGGUGAAAAGUUUAUAUUUUCAAUUACUUUUCUUAUAUUGCACACGUGUAAGAGAGGAAACAAAUAAAAUAGGCAGAACUGCUGCUACUCAGAAGUCACUCUGAGAACCAGGAAGUUAGCAUAAGACAAACUGCGACGGAGAUUCCCUGGAUGGCUCUUCAGGAGGUAGGGAGGAGGGGAUUGGCUUUUCCCCACCACGUCUGAAAUUGAGAAUCUCGGGCAACAAAGGAAGGGUGUUUGCUUAAAAACAGGUAAAUUAUUUAUUCUCAGUUCAUCUAAGAAAGGAACUAAAGAACUACUUAGAGUGCAGAGGAACAUACGGUACUUGCUUGGAUAACAAAGAGAAAAGGUGUGAAAUGUGAGGUGAAAUAGCUACAGAUGGUCAUAUCAUGCUGUAGCCUUUUGCUGACUUCUUAAUACUUGCUACAGUUGUAAAACACGUUUAUGAAUAGAUGCUUGAAUUUGAGAUUCCUGCUAGUCAGUCUUUCUUACCAGGAAACACACACCUCAGGAAACAUUCAUCUGUGUGACAGGUAGCAUUUAACUCCUGUAGGUAAUAAGAUGAUCAUGUUAUUUAGCUAAGAGUACUGCAGGUGGAAUUGCAGUAAAUUCAUUACAGGUACACUUGUACAUGUGAUGCAACAUUUAGUUUAAGAGUGGUCAACCCAAGGGAAGCAUAAGACCAAAGCCCUACUUGAGAAGCGGUGUCCUGGCAUGGAGGUCUCAGGAACAUCUGCUCUGAACCUCAACCUGGAUGGCUUCCCAUGAUCCUCUUUCCCUCUGAGCUCAGAAAUCUGGAUGUGGAAUAAUCUCCUGCUGUUUUGUCAUCUCAUAAUGAAAUGGGAAGCAGAUCCUGCUUAACAUCAGAAACAAUAUUUAAUGACUUCUACAAAUGCAACUGAUAUUUACACACUGAUGCUUCAUAGGACUGAUUCCAGGUGAAUUCUUGGCAACCUUUUUUUCAUUUGAUAAUUUAAGUAAUGUUUCUGUGUAGUUGCUAUUUUGCUUAAGACCUUCAUUCUUGCAAGAAACAACUGGGGAGUUUUGUGUUGCACCAUUCCCACAUAGAUGGAGAAAUAAGUGUGGGUUGUUUUUGUUUUUGUUUUUUUUUAACAUGACUUGACAGUGUGGCUGUGUUGGUUUUGACCGGAGUAACUAUUUUUAUUUCCUGUCCAGCUGAAUUACUACUUGAUUUGCUGAAAGCUGAGGAACCAGAGGUGUGACAUAAGAAUUUACAGAAAAACAAACAAACAUAUUUUUGGAGAAGUUAUUUGGCUGAAACAAAUGCCCUACGUUGGUCUAUCAGAGCCACUUGUCCUGUUGCUCUUAGCUAAGCUGUAUCGGAAGGCAAGACAGUCAUUGCUGAAUGCUGCCUCUUUGAAAGCACAAGUAUUUCAAAUGGAAUUUCUAAUAAUCAGUACUUUGAGUUAAUGAAAAGCUUUUAAUAAGCCCUGUUUUUCUUUGCUUUUCUUUCCUCUAAGCUUUUUCCUUUCCUUCAGCAGUUUGUUAAAAUGAUAUAGUAGUUUCUCAGAGCUUGACAGACUUCCAUGGGUUCCUGGCAAUGGAAUCACUUGAGCUUCUGGACUUGUGAUUUAGAGCAUGAAAAGAGCCAUAUCAGGGCUGGUCAGCACCAUUAGCCACUCUCCAGUAGUGACAAAUAGUGUAUCCCCGGGGAAAAAAUGUAAGAAGGAGACUUAAAGAGUGAGGAGGAGAUUAUAUCUUCAAAGUCCAUGAUUGAUUCUUUUUCCUUUUUUUUUCCUCUCCCACCAGUUCAGCUGCUGGCCUUCUUACGUCAAAAGCAUUUCUGGCUCAUAGCCAUGAAUUUGACUAGCUGUCUAGCUAAUGAGUUCACCUAAGCCUGGAGUUAAGUUGGAUGUUGGAGAAUGAUCUCCUGAUAGUUUUGAAUCUGUCAGUGAUUUUUUUGCCCCUUAUUUCUUGUAGCAUAAGAAAUAAUGAACAAUUUUUGUCUAUUAAAGCCUUCAUUAUGAUUGCACACACCCCUGCCAUAGCAACUUCAGGCAUCUCUUUUCCAAGACAUGGCUCUAUUUUUUUUCCUCACUGAGGAAGUUAUUUAUCCAUUGUUAUUUAUUGUAGCCUUCUCCCUGACUUGUGUUCUUUUUGAGUCUCAAGACAAAUACAGAUCUAAAUAAGUACUAACCAGGGAUCCCUUAGCUACUUUGAAAUGCAGUGAUUUUCUUAGUAGUGCCGUGUAAAAAUGACGUAUGUGAAAUGCAAUGAAAUUUGCAGGAGACUUCCAAUGCUGAAGAUUAAGUAAAUAUGAUUUUACUCUACUUAUGCAAUCUACUGAUGAGGGAGUUAAGUUCCCAUCACCAGCAGUUACAGUAACUAACUUGUCUGCUUUUCUCAAUGUGUGGGAACUAUUGAAUCAUGGCCUGAACCUCUGAUUGAUCACGUGAGGCAAGCACUGAGUCAGCAGCAGGAGCACAGGUGAAGGCAAUUCCGCUGUGUGACUGGAAGGGGUGGAGCCUGUCCCCACCUCUCCUAGACCCCAUUUAAGGGAUGACUGCUACUGAGGAAGGAUCUCUUUCUGGAGAUGGCUCUUCUUGAAGUUUUUUCUGCAAGUCUGGGACACAGAACUUAUCGGAUUAUGGGAAAAGCUAAACAGAAAGACAUACAUGAGCUUCGCGGGAGGAAAAUUUAGCACGACCACCUUCUGUCAAAGGGCCAAGAUAACGAGGCUGGCAAAAAACAACCUCUGAACAGACAUCAGUAACAAAACAACAAAGAUAUGCAACAAAUAAUGAAAUAUACAUUAGCAG